rnacentral:rRNA from 1 species
UCCGGUGGUUCUGAAUGGAAGGGCCAUCGCUCAACGGAUAAAAGGUACUCCGGGGAUAACAGGCUGAUACCGCCCAAGAGUUCAUAUCGACGGCGGUGUUUGGCACCUCGAUGUCGGCUCAUCACAUCCUGGGGCUGAAGUAGGUCCCAAGGGUAUGGCUGUUCGCCAUUUAAAGUGGUACGCGAGCUGGGUUUAGAACGUCGUGAGACAGUUCGGUCCCUAUCUGCCGUGGGCGCUGGAGAACUGAGGGGGGCUGCUCCUAGUACGAGAGGACCGGAGUGGACGCAUCACUGGUGUUCGGGUUGUCAUGCCAAUGGCACUGCCCGGUAGCUAAAUGCGGAAGAGAUAAGUGCUGAAAGCAUCUAAGCACGAAACUUGCCCCGAGAUGAGUUCUCCCUGACCCUUUAAGGGUCCUGAAGGAACGUUGAAGACGACGACGUUGAUAGGCCGGGUGUGUAAGCGCAGCGAUGCGUUGAGCUAACCGGUACUAAUGAACCGUGAGG